UCUGAGAUACGGAAUACAGAGUUGAUCAUAGAGAAGGAGAAAGCCUUUAAUAACUUUUCCAAAAAUGAGUAUAAUAAGAAAUACAAUAAGGAAAAGUAUGUGCCGCCGACUGAACCAAUGCCAGGUGUAGUAGAGAUCAGAAAAGAAGAUCGUGAUGAAUAUGUGAGGAAAAUGAAAGUUUCCAAACAGGCACUGCAGCAGACCCCUCCAGAGUGAUGGUCAAGCUUUACUGAUGAGUUUUAUGAAGUUCAUUAUCCAUCACACAGGAUGAAAUUUCAGUGUAAACUCCUGAAAUUCACCAGAAGGGCUAAAUAAACACAUACAGAAAUGUA